rnacentral:rRNA from 1 species
CCUACGGGAGGCAGCAGUAAGGAAUAUUGGACAAUGCUCGCAAGAGUGAUCCAGCCAUGCCGCGUGCAGGAAGAAUGCCCUAUGGGUAGUAAACUGCUUUUGAACUAGAGAAAACCCCAGUACGUGUACUGGGCUGAUAGUAUAGUUAGAAUAAGCAUCGGCUAACUUCGUGCCAGCAGCCGCGGUAAGACGAAGGAUGCAAGCGUUAUCCGGAUUCAUUGGGUUUAAAGGGAGCGUAGGUGGACUGAUAAGUCAGUGGUGAAAUCUCCGAGCUUAACUCGGAAAUUGCCAUUGAUACUGUUGGUCUUGAGUACAGUUGCUGUGGGCGGAAUAUGACAUGUAGUGGUGAAAUACAUAGAGAUGUCAUAGAACACCGAUUGCGAAGGCAGCUCACAAAGCUGUAACUGACACUGAGGCUCGAAAGUGCGGGGAUCAAACAGGAUUAGAUACCCUGGUAGUCCGCACCGUAAACGAUGAUUACUCGCUGCUAGGGGGCAACCUUUAGUGGCUUAGCGAAAGCGAUAAGUAAUCCACCUGGGGAGUACGCCGGCAACGGUGAAACUCAAAGGAAUUGACGGCGNGAGAGNGCGAGACGACGACGAGGGGAGAGG